UAAGAACUUGACGUACUUUACUUCACAAGAAUCCUACGAAGUAGAUAUUACUAGCUGCAUUUUACAGCUAGGGAAAAUUCAUCUCUUAGAGUGCUUAUGCUCACACAGCAUCUACUUAUAAAAUAAGAAGGAUUAGUCUUCCAAGCCAGAGGACCUCCCUAAGCCUAAAGAGUGAAAGAAAAGCCAUUUCACAAAGAAGUAAUGGUACUUGGAGUGACAUUUCAGUGGAUUUUCGGGCCACACCAUCUCUGCUGUGACAACUCAGAAUUCAAGCUAGCAGGGAGCUGGAGGGGGAAAUGGAAGAAUUUGUAUCUGAAGGACCCUAUUCUGACAGCAGAUGUCUCCCUUACAUACAGGUAAGGAAAGAAGCACUGUGGUAGGAAUCAUUUCAGUCCUUCUUGUGGCUGCCACAUAUCGUGUAUCAUGGGG
rnacentral:lncRNA from 1 species